GUUAGGACGGCCGAGCGGUCUAAGGCACCAGACUGUGAUUCUGGUCUCCAAAUGGAGGUGUGGGUUCAAAUCCCACUCCUGACA